UUGAAAUCUCGCGUGACGUCACAUUUGAGUAAAACUUCUACUCAAGCGUGGCGUAUCGCGCCAUUUCAACUCGAUGUAGCACUGUUAUUAUUUAAUUAUGAAAGAAAAUAAAAAUAUGAGUCUAAUAUUUUCUAAUUAUCUGUCUGACGGACAAAUAAUUGAAAUUUUGUCAUCUAGCCUAGUUGUCGUCAGGAAGUUGGUCUAACUAAUUCAGCUUGCAAGAUUCCACCCGAACAAACAUUUAUGUAAUUACCUACAUACAUCAUAAAUUGCAAGCUAAAUAAAAGCUUGUAAUAAAGUCGGGUUUGUUCAAAUUUCGAGAACGACUGAACCGACAAAAGCAUUAGAAAAUUUACGAAAAAUAAAAUAAAAUUUUAUCCCGUACAAAAUGUUCAUGGAUUUUGUUAUUUUUAUUAAAUACCUUUACGCCUGAGUUAAAUGACACCGACAUCAAGGUUCAUCAAUUUAAGUUUAAAAUAAUAGGCAGUAAUGUAUGAAGAAAGAGCUUCUAUUCUGUAUCUACCUAUGCCCGUGUAUUUUUGAUCGGUGUCAAAUCGGAGUUUUUGGUGCGGGGUACGCGGGUGUUGCUCGCGGCGUGAAGGUCAAACGCCCAAGGUCAUUGAGGACUCUAAUCGCCUUAAAAUCGAAACUAUUCACUAUUAGAUGCGAAAUGAAUAAAAUUCCUAGAUUCGAAAAGAGACUGAUUUAUUCAAGAUACUGCAAAACUUGAUUGUAACGUUUAUUUAACCUGUAAGUAAAUAUCACAAUUAGGACAAUUAGUACAGAGAAUAAGUAAAAUUAACUUCAGCUUAAUCCGAACCAAAUUUUUUAUUUUUUAUUUGUGUUGAGCGGCUAUUCUAGUUCAAUAAAGUCCUAGUAUCACUGCGACCGUUAUCGAUCUAUUGUGAUCGCCGCUGUUUUCCUUACAGUUCGCCUCCGAGUCCUGCAUCCAUUAGGAAGUGCAGUAUCUUUUGGGGGGCGAUAUGUUUUACAUCUUGUGGGCUUAGGAUGUGUUUGCCCAGGUGUAAGCUCCGCUUGCGCAUCAGAGGUCCGCAGUCCGUGAGAAUGUGUAGUGGCGUUUCAUCUGCCUCUUGGCACAUCCUGCACGUUCUUGUUUCGGACAGUCCCAUAGUGGACAAGUGCUUGUUUAAGCUGCAGUGUCCAGUGAGGGCUCGAACUAAGAAUCCGAACCAAAAGUUUUUUUAAUAACUUUUUGCUGCCUAAAGAAAAUCUUAAAGCUUCUUGCUACUGUACACAUUCUUACAAAACGAUACAAGAUAAUAAAACCUAUCAGUCAAUUACCGUCGCGUAACUUACCCACGAUAAGUUAAUGCAGACUCUACCUGCCUCCGAGUUCACGGCACGAGACAAAGUUAUGCUUGCGCAGUGCAAAGUCAAGGCCGCAGCAUUCCGAUAUGCGACAAAUCUCUAUCUCUAGCGGCUUUUUAGCUAACAAAGAAAACAUGCAUAAUUUUGAGUAACAAGUAUCGGGUAAAAUAGUUUGUAAACUAACAAUUUUCAUCGAUUAAGUUCUAGUCCAGUCAAAAUUAAAAUUAAACUCUCAAAAGCAUAUAAAAUGCCAAAGAUUGCAUUGUUUUUUUAGCAAAGCAAGGCAGGUAUUUUUCCAGUCUAGGGUGGUAAUACCUGCCCGUAUGUAGUCAAGCAAGUCAAGGAUAAAGGAACAGGGGUGGUUGUAAACAAGCUUCAUAAAUCUUUACAACUGUUACCCUACUUGACUCUACCCCUUACUCACUCACGCCAUGAAGAGGCCCGGUCUAAACAAACAAAAGAGUUGCAAUAGUGAUGCACGUGCAAGUUUCCGGGAAGCGUCAUCGUGAAAGUCAAGGUCGUUGCGCGCGCACGCCCGCACUACGGUCGAUAGCGCGCGCUCGCUCGCUCGCCGCGUGCCCGGGCUAAUAGCGCGCUAAAGUCUGGGAUUAAAGUUCGCGCUAGAAGUUGUAGCUGUGUAAAGAAUGCAGGCUGUUUCUGUGAAUACCACAACAAUGAAUCUAACUAUGUACUAUUAAAAUUGCUAUGUUUGAUUUAGUAAGGCGAAACAAAACUUUAUUUUAUUUCUAAAGUUUCAGGAAAACAAUCGUUUUGAUUCGACCCGUAGACAAAAUAAAACGAAGACACUUAUCUACCUUCUUUCAAUUUAAUAAUGUACAGUUAACCUACUUGUCACAAGAGUGCUUAUCUGCGCUUGCGCUACGAGAGCGCACGCUUGCCCGCGCGUAUAGCGCAAUAGCGCGUGCUAAAGUUUCGGCUAAAAGUUUUAUAACGGUAGCUUCUUUGACGAAGAGUGUGUAGUAGUUUAAAUUGUCAAUACUUGCAUGAUCUACAUAAUGUAGAGUUAUUUUAGUGUAAAAUUAAUUCAUAAAAGCUCACUCGUUAGCUUGCUCACGUGCCUGUGUCGCAAAGGCCCAUUUCAGUAAGUAAAAUAUCAAUUAUAAAAUUUUUACAUCAUUUUCAGCAUCAUCAUCAUUUCAGCCAUAGAACGUCCACUGCUGAACAUAGGCCUCCCCCGAUGCUUACCAUGUUGAUCGAUUGGUAGCAUUGGUACAUCAUUUUACAGAUACCUAAUUUUAAACAAAAUUUAAAGAAAAGAAAACUUACUUUAAUACAAACAAGCCAAAAGAAAGCAAGAAUUACUUCGAACAAAGCAAGGCUAUAUUUUACAAUUUACUCGCAGCAAAAGCUUAGCCUUUCGUAAAUAAUACCAAACCAGAAAUCCCAAUUAGGCGGCGCAGUAUCGUAAACGGAACGGAAGAGGCGGGCAGGCGAAGGAAAUGCCCUGCAACGCCUGAAUUAUUCAUUGAUAAUUGGGCGGAGGCAUUUGCCCGCUUGUCCAAUUGUCAUUAAUUAAUACAACAUGACACUAAGCUUUCGCUUAACCGAAUAUAAUUAUGUAGAGAGCAGAUAUUUUCAUUAUUAGUUUCGCUUGCUAGAAGCAAUAAGGAAGUAUUUUCUAAAAUCAUUAUGUUUUCAAAAUAAUAAGAAUCCUGGGAAACCCGAACCCGUAAAAAAUAUUAUAGCGACGAUCCUCAGUCUCUCCGUAAUGCUGUAAGAUUUUGGGGAUUCAGGGAUCAUUUAGAAAAACUCGGUACAAAGGAUCUAUGGGUGUGUUGGAGUGUUUAAUAAGAAAAUGAAACCGAACUGAAAGUGGGUUGAAAUACCGCCCCAUCUUGUGGCGAUAAUUGAUUAAAAAAAAACUUAAAUUAUCUGCCUUUUUAAUGAGAUUUUUUUUAUUUCUGCCUACCUACAUUCAUACAAUUUUAAAUAAAUUAUCCAGCUAGUAUAAUACGCACACACAAUAAAAAUUGUGCUGUGCAGCCGAUGCAAUGGGUCUACGAUUGUUAAGGCUAAAGUCAUGUACUAAAAGUCCAUUUAAAAUGUAAUGUACACGCAGCCUAAGAUUCCAAUACCCAGCGCGGAUUCAAUAUCCAGUAUUUUUCAUGCAAAGCACUAGAAUAAUGUAUUAUUCUUUGUAAGUCUGCACUAGACCAGGCUUGGAAGCAGGCUGCUGUUCCCUUAGUAAUCACACGGUAUUGGAAAUAAGGGCUUUGAAAAUUCUUCGUUAUUUUUCAUCUUCGUUAUUACUUAUUUUUUACUAUCAUACAUCUGAAGAAUUUGUUUGUUUGGCUGCUUGAAUGUGCUAAUCUUAAAAACUACUGGUUCGAAUUGGAAAAUCGUUCGUCGUCGUCGUCAUCGUCGUUCACACGACCGUCCAGUUUUGCGGGAUCCUGAAUUACUGAAUCCCGCAAAACUGGAUUGUCGUGGGGCUCGUUUCCACUAAAUUAUUUCAGGGCCAUCGGCGCUACAUAAAAAGCGUUACGUUUUGAAUUCCUUCGCCCUCUUGAUAAACAGAAUCAAAAAAAUAUCAAAACCCUCGACUGGAGCACCCGCGGAUUGUCGGGUCAAGAGUCGGCUGUUUAAUGAAUAAUUCAACGACACAGCUCUCUGGCGUUUUUCAUAAACACCGAUUCUGCUGUUUUCAAGGUACCUACACUAUUUUUAACUGGACGGAAAUAGAUUGAAAUAAAAAGUUUAAUUUACUACCAUGUCUGUCUAUAUCCGACGACACUGUUUAAAAGGUUAUUAGUUUGGUAGUUUCGUAAUUAUUUUGAUAAUUUAAAUAAUCUACGUCAUACUACUGAUACUACGGCAUAUUUACGAAGAAAUCAUUAAUUUGGCUAACUAAUGCCAUUGUUAUGGUCAAAUUAUAAUCAUCAGUCUGAGAGUGAUCUAUUCUUUCUGUGAGGAGAGAAGGUGAGAGAGAGACUAAAGAGCGACAGAGUAAGAAAAUCAAAAAAGUAAAAACUUUUUAAAGAGUUGUGUUUGAUAAUGGUGUGAUAUACUCUUUGUAAAGAAGUAUGUGACACACAACUGACAAAUGACUUUCAGUCAAAGAACAGUCAUCCCUUGGUCAUCCCAGUCGUGCAAUAGCAUCCAAACACCCAAACUCAUCAUCAUCACCAUACAUCCAUCUAAAACCACCAGCACUAUGACCAUAGCCACAUUUCGAAAUAGCGACCAAAGUGGAACGAAUAAAAACCAGUCCCAAAAAAACUGCAAAUUCAACUUUGCUUUUACAAUAACUUUCAAGAAAGACAAGAAGAAGUAGCAAAAAGAACAAAGAUAAAAGGAAAAAAUCAGUGCAAUGGAAAUUUGAAUACAAAACUCAGCAUUUGCUCUCGUUGGCAACUUGUCUGGAGGUUUCUUGAAACAAUAAAAAGUUUGUACAUUCUAGAGGAGUUUACAUCAGUUAUACCGAAACUAUCAAGAAAAUAGUGCAAUCUGAUACUUCUCAUUUUAAAAUAGGCCUUAAUUGAAUAAUAUUUAUCUUAAUUAAAAUAUUACAUAAAUUA